UAAAUUGAGAGUUUGAUCCUGGCUCAGGACGAACGCUGGCGGCGUGCCUAAUACAUGCAAGUCGAACGAAGCUUUCUUUCACCGAAUGCUUGCAUUCACCGAAAGAAGCUUAGUGGCGAACGGGUGAGUAACACGUAGGCAACCUGCCCAAAAGAGGGGGAUAACACUUGGAAACAGGUGCUAAUACCGCAUAACCAUGAACACCGCAUGAUGUUCAUGUAAAAGACGGCUUUUGCUGUCGCUUUUGGAUGGGCCUGCGGCGUAUUAACUUGUUGGUGGGGUAACGGCCUACCAAGGUGAUGAUACGUAGCCGAACUGAGAGGUUGAUCGGCCACAUUGGGACUGAGACACGGCCCAAACUCCUACGGGAGGCAGCAGUAGGGAAUCUUCCACAAUGGACGAAAGUCUGAUGGAGCAACGCCGCGUGAAUGAAGAAGGCCUUCGGGUCGUAAAAUUCUGUUGUCAGAGAAGAACGUGCGUGAGAGUAACUGUUCACGUAUUGACGGUAUCUGACCAGAAAGCCACGGCUAACUACGUGCCAGCAGCCGCGGUAAUACGUAGGUGGCGAGCGUUGUCCGGAUUUAUUGGGCGUAAAGGGAACGCAGGCGGUCUUUUAAGUCUGAUGUGAAAGCCUUCGGCUUAACCGAAGUAGUGCAUUGGAAACUGGAAGACUUGAGUGCAGAAGAGGAGAGUGGAACUCCAUGUGUAGCGGUGAAAUGCGUAGAUAUAUGGAAGAACACCAGUGGCGAAAGCGGCUCUCUGGUCUGUAACUGACGCUGAGGUUCGAAAGCGUGGGUAGCAAACAGGAUUAGAUACCCUGGUAGUCCACGCCGUAAACGAUGAGUGCUAAGUGUUGGAGGGUUUCCGCCCUUCAGUGCUGCAGCUAACGCAUUAAGCACUCCGCCUGGGGAGUACGGUCGCAAGACUGAAACUCAAAGGAAUUGACGGGGGCCCGCACAAGCGGUGGAGCAUGUGGUUUAAUUCGAAGCAACGCGAAGAACCUUACCAGGUCUUGACAUCUUCUGACAAUUCCAGAGAUGGAACGUUCCCUUCGGGGACAGAAUGACAGGUGGUGCAUGGUUGUCGUCAGCUCGUGUCGUGAGAUGUUGGGUUAAGUCCCGCAACGAGCGCAACCCUUAUUGUCAGUUGCCAUCAUUAAGUUGGGCACUCUGGCGAGACUGCCGGUGACAAACCGGAGGAAGGUGGGGAUGACGUCAAAUCAUCAUGCCCCUUAUGACCUGGGCUACACACGUGCUACAAUGGACGGUACAACGAGUCGCUAACUCGCGAGGGCAAGCUAAUCUCUUAAAGCCGUUCUCAGUUCGGAUUGCAGGCUGCAACUCGCCUGCAUGAAGUCGGAAUCGCUAGUAAUCGCGAAUCAGCAUGUCGCGGUGAAUACGUUCCCGGGCCUUGUACACACCGCCCGUCACACCAUGAGAGUUUGUAACACCCAAAGUCGGUGGGGUAACCUUUUGGAGCCAGCCGCCUAAGGUGGGACAGAUGAUUGGGGUGAAGUCGUAACAAGGUAGCCGUAGGAGAACCUGCGGCUGGAUCACCUCCUUUCUAAGGAA
rnacentral:rRNA from 1 species